AUCACAGGCAACACAACAUUUCACACAGUCAGCAUCCAGACACUGUUGACUAUUCGGAAACUUAAGAACAAGAAAAUGACAUUAACACCAUUCUCUCUAUACAUUGGCCCAUUUCAAACACACCCUUUGAAGACCAGGUUUUUCAAUCAAAAGCCAUCAGG